AUAUUUCAAAUAACCGAUCUAAUAUUUACGAACCAAAAACACGAUUCAAUUAGAUAGAACUUUUUCUUAUCUGAUUCUAUCGGAUUUUUUGAGUAGGGAAGUGAUACGGUCAGCAUAUUCGUCUGAACUUAUAUAUUUUUGAAGAUUACUGAUACAAUCAUCUUUGUUGUAUUUGUUAUUAUUUUUGUGAGAAUGUCCGGAACGUCCCGCGAAUCUUAUUAUUAUAUUGGUAAUUAUGUCUUAUAACAUUAAUAAUACAUAAAAUUGCUUUCAGAGGUGCUUGCUUUUGCGGUUCAAUUUCUUUAUAUUAUUUAGAUUGGCCGCUGGUUAUUUGACAAUCUAGAUUGGCUGCUGGUUCUACGCUGUAGAAAUUUACGUGACAGGCAAAGCUCGCAUGGUGUUCAGUGUCAGUAUUGCCCGGGAAGAGCCUACAGGAGGGCAGUAUCUAAAAGAUAUAAUCUGAUUUAAAUCAAAUUGUAUUCGCGACACACCGGGCCAUAUUUGCUAUAAACAAGCUUUGCCAAGUAUUAUAUUCACAUUAUAAUAAAAACAAAUUUAUAAUGUAAAAUUGUCUAAUUAAUGUGACGUGUUCAAGAUUAACAAAGCGGCUAGCCUGCUCGCCGAGUGGUUGAAUAUGUGAUUGAUUGGAUCUAUAAGAAAAAAUCAUAUUUAAUCGCUCGGCGAGCAGGCUAGCUGCUUUGUCAUCUUGACGCAAUAACCCUAACCUAAUCCUAAUCUAUAUGUAAGCGUCCCACUGCGUAAAUGUGUGCGUGUAUAAGUGAUCGACUGAAGCCUUCCCGUUUUCAUCAUUGCGUCAAUCUAUAGACAUUCGCAGCGACACUCUAUGGGAGAAUGUACCGCGGACAUGCGAACGUUCUCAGAAUGUAUUUGGUUAAUCGCAGUACGUAAUGCGAUUGUUCUGAGAAUAUAUGCAAUAUACGUUUGCGAUAUUCUCAGAACGUUCUCAGAAUCUCUGUGUGCUAUUAGGGACAUUACAUCAAACAUUAAAUUCAAUUAAUACAUUAUUUGAAAGCUGUAUUCAAGUCCUUCAAAUUACACUAAUGUCAAAAAAUUAAUACUUGACAUAUUUUUCAAAAUAAAAUAAAAA